rnacentral:rRNA from 1 species
AGAAUCAACGCUGGCGGCGGUGCCUAACGACGAUGCAAGUCGCACGAGAAAGGGACUUCGGUCCUGAGUACAGUGGCGCACGGGUGAGUAACACGUGAAUCAUCUACCUCCGAGUGGGGAAUAACUGAGAGAAAUCUUAGCUAAUACCGCAUAACACUUACGAGUCAAAGCAGCAAUGCGCUUGGAGAGGAGUUCGCGGCAGAUUAGUUAGUUGGCGGGGUAAUGGCCCACCAAGACGAUGAUCUGUAUCCGGCCUGAGAGGGCGCACGGACACACUGGAACUGAAACACGGUCCAGACUCCUACGGGAGGCAGCAGUGGGGAAUUUUGCGCAAUGGGGGAAACCCUGACGCAGCAACGCCGCGUGGAGGAUGAAAUCCCUUGGGAUGUAAACUCCUUUCGAUAGGGAAGAUAAUGACGGUACCUAUAGAAGAAGCCCCGGCUAACUUCGCGCCAGCAGCCGC